CCGGUGGUUCUGAAUGGAAGGGCCAUCGCUCAACGGAUAAAAGGUACUCCGGGGAUAACAGGCUGAUACCGCCCAAGAGUUCAUAUCGACGGCGGUGUUUGGCACCUCGAUGUCGGCUCAUCACAUCCUGGGGCUGAAGUCGGUCCCAAGGGUAUGGCUGUUCGCCAUUUAAAGUGGUACGCGAGCUGGGUUUAGAACGUCGUGAGACAGUUCGGUCCCUAUCUGCCGUGGGCGUUGGAAGAUUGAAGGGGGCUGCUCCUAGUACGAGAGGACCGGAGUGGACGAACCUCUGGUGUUCGGGUUGUGUCGCCAGACGCAUUGCCCGGUAGCUAAGUUCGGAAUCGAUAACCGCUGAAAGCAUCUAAGCGGGAAGCGAGCCCUGAGAUGAGUCUUCCCUGAUACUUUAAGUAUCCUAAAGGGUUGUCGGAGACUACGACGUUGAUAGGUCAGGUGUGUAAGUGCUGUGAGGCAUUGAGCUAACUGAUACUAAUUGCCCGUGAGGCUUAACCAUACAACACCCAAGGGGUUU
rnacentral:rRNA from 1 species